UUGGAGAGGUUUGGAAACUUAGGGCAAGUCCAGCAGUUCCUCUAAAAUAUCACCCCUAUAUCUCAAAAUGGGGGACUCCUCUAAAAAUAUUCUCCCCUAAAAAUUGCCCAACUCCAGCAGUUGCCCUAAAAGAUCUCCCCUAAUCUAUAUUUUAAGAAUUUUGUGUAACAACCAUUUUCUUUUUCUUUUUUUCGCGCUGGAUUCCCCCCCUCUCCUUCUAUUUCUUCCCCACCGAGCUGUCUCUUUUUCCUCCUUUCUUCCCCACCGAUCCGUUAGCCGCCCCUGCUCCUUCUCCCCAAAUCCCGGCAAGCCAGCCCGCCGCCCCCCCAUCUGGCCGCCGCCCGCGAGGCAGAGCCGCUCCAAUCUGGCCGCCGCUGCCCGCUUCUAGCCGCCGCCACCGCCACCUGCAUCUGCCACCCCAAAUCAAAGCAAGAAACAGAGAAAGGAGAAGGAGGCCGGGCGCGUGGUGGCGGGAGGGAGGCAUCGGUUGCUCCUCGCGUGGAUAGGGGUAGGGAUCGGGCUCCCUGAUCUGUAGGGGAGAAAAAGCUCUGGAUCGGGGACGCCAAAAUAUCGAGGAGGCUUUAGGGGAACUGCUGGACGUUGUUUUUGGGCUUUCCCCCCCUAAAUUUGGUAUUGGGGAGGCUUUAGAGGAACUGCUGGACUUGCUCUUAGACCAUGGUUGACAUGUCCAUCUUAAUCUCCUUGAGCUAGGUUCAUUAGACAAUGCUUGACACUACGAAUAGCUCCUUCCUCCGCCAGUCCACCUCCAAAGAUGGUGAGCUCCACAACACUCACAACUCUCGG
rnacentral:lncRNA from 1 species